rnacentral:lncRNA from 1 species
AAGCGAAAGACAAAAAGGCAUCUUGAGAGCAGCAAGAGAGACGGAGUCUCACUCUGUCACCCAGGCUGGAGUGUAGUGGUGCAAAUUCAGCUCACUGCAACCUCCACCUCCCAGGUUGAAACGAUUCUCCUGCCUCAGCUUCCCAAGCAGCUGGGAUUACAGGCACAUGCCAUUAGAACCAGCUAAUUUUUGUAUUUUUAGUGAAGACGGGGUUUCACCAUGUUGGCCAGGCUGGUCUUGAACUCUUGACCUCAAGUGAUCCACCUGCCUCGGCCUCCUGAAGUUCUGGGACUAUAGGUGUGAGCCAUCAUGCCAGGCCACAUAGUUGGAUUUUAAAAAUUCAGUAGGCCACUCAAACUAAUUGGGGCUUAAUUCAUCUUACAUUUAAUGUAGUUAAUGAUAUAUUUGGAUUUAUAUCCAUCACGUUGUUUUCUACUUAAUCUGUGAACUAUGUGUUUCUGGGUUUUUCUCCUUUUGGAUUUCAUAUUUUCCCUUAUUUCAUCCUCUAUGUUAUUUCACAAGUUAUUACCUCUAUUUCUUCUAUCUGCUAUUAUGACACACAUACUGAUUAACUUUAGACUCUGAAAAGUUAUGUGUCUUUACUGUCCUCACAAGUACCUUACAGAAACUCCAUUCAUCCUUCUGACUUACGUGCUAUCAUUGACAUAUAUAUUAAUAUGCUUUAAAGCCUAUGAAAAUGAUUACUGUUUUAUAAAAAUGUUUGUUUAGAUUUACUAAGAUAUUUAUUACUCUUAUGCUUUUUGAUCUUUCUUGUAUCUCUGGCCUCCUGUCUGAGAGUCACUUUCUUCAUGCCUAGAGUACACACUUCUAAAUUUCAAGUGAAGACUUCCUAAUUGCAAAUGCUCAGUUUUUGUCUGCAAGAAACGUAUGAAUUUCCCUGGAUUUAUUCUCUUAGUAUAAAAUUCUAGAUUUUUAUUUUAAUUUAAGAAAAUGUUCCCCUGUCUUCUGGGUGUGACCUUAUUCACGGUAAAUCUGUCUUCCUCCCCAGAUAUAUCAAAGAUCUUUUCUUUGUCUUUGAUGUUCUGCUGUUUUAUUGUAACAAGGCUAAGUGAGGAUUUAUUUAUUUAACCACCUUAGGUUCCUGUGCUUCUUCAAUGUAUAGUUUAGUGUUGUUCACAAGAUGCAGAAAAUUCUUAGCCAUUAUUCUUUUAACUGUUGUUUACCAUUCUCUCUUACAGAAAACCAUUCAGAUAAAUAUUUAUUUUUAAAUAUGUAUAACUUCUCUUUCGUACUUUUCAACUGUUUCUCUUGAAUGCUUGUUGAGUAAUUAUUCAGUUCAUUAUUUCCUUUUUUGAGUUUAUAUAAUCUGCAGUUAAAUUCAUCUAUUGAGGAUUUUUUUUUUUUUUUUUGAGACGGAAUCUGGCUCUGUCACCCAGGCUGGAGUGCAGUGGCGCAAUCUCGGCUCACUGCAAGCUCCGCCUCCUGGGUUCACGCCAUUCUCCUGCCUCAGCCUCCCGAGCUGCUGGGACUACAGGCACCCGCCACUACACCCGGCUAAUUUUUUGUAUUUUUAGUAGAGAUGGGGUUUCGCCGUGUUAGCCAGGAUGGUCUUGAUCUCCUGACCUCGUGAUCCGCCCACCUCGGCCUCCCAAAGUGCUGGGAUUACAGGCGUGAGCCACCACGCCCAGCCCUAUUGAGGACUUUUAAUAAAGUUUCAACUACUAUAAUUUUCAAUUGUAUAAAUUCUAGCUAUUUUUAAAAAAUCUCUUUGAAUAGUCUUUAUAGUUUCUGAAUCUUGGAACAUAUUUUCAACUUUUGUUGAAACAUAUGAAACACUUACUUCAUAUUCUGUAGCUGCCUAUUCCUAUUUUCCAGCAGGUCUGCUGUUGAGUCCUGCUCACAGUGCUUAGUUUCUUUAUGUUUUUCUUUUUGACUAUCACAGUUGUUCUACUUACUUAGAAUUUUAUUUCUAGGAAAACUUUCAACUCUGGGAUGGAGAUGAGUUUCUCCAAAGAGAAUUUCUGUUAGCUUCUACAAGAGUCUGGGGAUACUCACUGCCAGUCUAUGUAUACUGCCAUUAUGGGGAUAAAUUAUCUUAGGGAAUUCUUUUUCUGUUUUUUUUUUAGAUCACCUACACAGCGUUAAAUUCGCACUGCAAAUUAUACAAGGGUCAGCUGGUUGCUUAAAAUUCUCAGCAGUGAUCUUGCCCCCAUAUUCACUCCGACAAGGUUUUAGCUAUACAAAUAAUUUUUGCAGUGUGGUUCCCGACCAGCAAAAUCACUAUCAUCUGGAAACUUAUUAGAGGUACAAAUUUUAAAAGUCUCACCCCAGACCUACUGAAUCUUACACUCUGGGGAUGUUGCCCAGCAAUCUUUGUUUUAACAAGUCCUCCAUGUGAUUCUGAUGCACAUUAAAAACUAAGAAGCAUGCAGAAAAUCAACUUUCCCUGCAAUCUUGAAGGAUGGUGGGAUUGGUGGUGGUUUCCAGUUUAGCUGAGUCUCAGCUUUAAGGUGAAGAGGAAGAACGUAUCAGAUUC